AGCAUUUCACCAAAUACCCUCUUUCAGAAAGGAAUAUGUUUAAGGUAAAAGGCUGAUGUUGCCCUCGGUGGUCCCUAAGCUGUUUUGCAAGAGAAUUAGGCACUGAAGUUUCAAAAUCCAGUGCUAGAGACGGUAAGCAGGCAGAGGUUAAAUGGAGUGCAAAACUAAUAAUUGCAACAGACAGGGACGGAAUUAAAUAUUGGUAUGUCCUAUAUGCUUUUUUGUUAGCAUGUUAUACUUUGGUUUUUUCAUUAUUUAAUAUGAGUUUUGAUAAAUUUCAGACCACGAAAAUGCAAUUAAGUGCAAAAUAGUAAUUGAGCGGACAAAUUUGGCUGCUAGACACUCACUUUCCUUUGCUACAAUAAAUUAAUUUUUUGAAGCAAUGGUUCGGAUUUGACGAUUAAAAAAAAAAAAGAGUAAUGAUUCUGAAAAAUUGGGGGAAGUUUGAAAGGACUGCUCGGUAACUUGGCUCUGGCAUUUUAAUGAACAUUUACCGUGCAAUGCCUAAAACCAUCCUAUGCAAAAAUGAAUUGACGAAGGGCACGUCCCUGUCAAACGUAUCGUUUAAGGACGAAAGAAACGGAACGACGCUGUGCUAGUAGAUUUUAUCACUGCCUACUUCUGAAAACCGCAAACCCAGGAAAAGAGAAUUGCCGUACGAGGUUAUCCCUGGUGUUUUUUCCAGGGAAAAGAGGAAUCGAAAUUCUGAGGAACCCAACGGAGCCAAAGGAGUCGACUUUUUUUUUCUCUGUUUGUUGCUGGGAAAUGCAAACCUUAGGACCUUUACGACCUCGAUUCCCGGAGCUCUUGAAGCGUCCUUGGCUUAUUAAACCAUUUAGCUUGAGAGCAUUCUCGUCUAUACCUCCUUCUGAUUACUCCAACCAGUCUCGCGGUGGCCUUCCUCGCUUCUUCUCCGAAACUCUUCCUUCUUCCAAGGGCGGUGUUAUUCGCGUACAAGGAGAUGAAUUUUGGCAUAUAACUAAAGUUUUAAGGUUGAAAACUGACGACAGAGUAGAGCUCUUCAAUGGAAAAGGAGGUCUAGUAGAAGGGUUCAUUCAAAACAUUGACGGCACCGCAAUUGAUUUUGUGGCUUUGGAAGAUCCAAAGCAAGUUCUUCCACAGACCCCACAAUGGCAUGUAUUUGCUGCUUUUGGUUCACUGAAGGGUGGUCGAGCUGACUGGCUUGUUGAGAAGUGUACUGAACUGGGAGCUAGUAGCGUAACACCUUUGCUCACUGAACGUUCUUCUGCUAUCUCUGACAAUAGGGUGGAAAGAUUGCAGCGUGUCAUGUUAGCAGCGUCUAAACAAUGCCAACGUUUGCAUGAAAUGAAAUUGAAUCAUCCUAUGAAGAUUGACAAACUUGUACCUCUUGUUGCCAAGUCAAAGCUGUCUUUUAUAGCCAUAGCGGAAGCUACUCCUCUAGUCAGUGCAUUGACUUCAGCGAUAAAGGAACCUAGUGGGCUGAUAAUAGUUGGACCAGAAGGGGACUUUUCAGAGAAAGAGGUGAAUAUGAUUAAACAAGCAGGUGCUACCACUGUUGGUCUUGGGUCUCAUCGAUUGCGUGUUGAAACUGCAACUAUAGCUAUUUUGGCAACCCUAAUGCUAUGGUCUGACUCUCAGAAAAUCACCAACCCCUAAGCAUUCAUGCAGGUAGUUCUUAUAUUUUUGUCUCUUGUAUUGGUGUUGCAACUUCCAUAUUGUCUCAUUUAUAUGUUCAAGAUGCAGCUGAUGGACCAGGAGAUAAAGUUCCCUUUCCUAUGGGACAUCUAUGUGAGUGGAUGCAUCGAAUUAUACAGCUAAUGGCUGGAAGAGGCUAAAGAGGUUUUGGUGAAUGUUCCUUUCGUUUUUCUUGCACUCCAGAGAAAGAGAAUAACUGCAGUUCACUUCAUUUAAACUUGACUGUAUUCUCUGUAAUAAUUGAACAUUAAUAAGAAGAACUUUAUGCAUUUCCAAAAUUCUGAUUAUGUUCUAAACCUUUUUCAUCAUCCAGUCUUGUUGGGAUGAAAUAAGUGUUUUAGCCUUCAAAAUUAGGUUUUAAACAAAGACUAAUUAGUUUGACGACCCAGUAAAAAGCUCUAAGAUCAUUUUAAAGUUGGCAGUGUCUUUCUUUUGCAAGAAAUUUGAAAAUUUCUGUAUACUAGGGGAAAGGUCAAAGCAAAAUAUUUUAUGAAAAAUAUAGGUUUACUAGCUGAUUAAAAAUGAUUUGUCUUGCUCUAGCUAUAUACCGGAUAUACCAUUCAAAUUUUGAAAUAUAAUGACACAUUCUGUUUGUCCCAAUUUAUUAAAUCGAUUUGUCCAGCUUAGAAUUUUGAAAAUAAAAUCAAAUUUGCAGCUUAGUCUAAGUGUUCCUUUCAGUGAUGUAUUCUCUUUUUGGCAUAGCUAAUUUAAUAUGGAGUCUUUUAUCAUGAAAAGAGAAAAACUAAAAUUACUGAGCAUUUGUUUCUAUAUU